rnacentral:piRNA from 1 species
GAAAAGGAGGAUAAAUAUGAAGAA